rnacentral:lncRNA from 1 species
GGCUGAAUGUGGAGGUCUGUUCACUGGAAGAGGCUGAAUGUGGAGGUCUGGUCACUGGAAGAGGCUGAAUGUGGAGGUCUGUUCACUGGAAGAGGCUGAAUGUGGAGGUAUGGUCACUGGAAGAGGCUGAAUGUGGAGGUCUGGUCACUGGAAGAGGCUGAAUGUGGAGGUCUGGUCACUGGAAGAGACUGAAUGUGGAGGUCUGGUCACUGGAAGAGGCUGAAUGUGGAGGUCUGGUCACUGGAAGAGGCUGAAUGUGGAGGUCUGGUCACUGGAAGAGGCUGAAUGUGGUCUGGUCACUGGAAGAGGCUGAAUGUGGAGGUCUGGUCACUGGAAGAGGCUGAAUGUGGAGGUCUGGUCACUGGAAGAGGCUGAAUGUGGAGGUCUGGUCACUGGAAGAGGCUGAAUGUGGUCUGUUCACUGGAAGAGGCUGAAUGUGGAGGUCUGGUCACUGGAAGAGGCUGAAUGUGGAGGUCUGGUCACUGGAAGAGGCUGAAUGUGGAGGUCUGGUCACUGGAAGAGGCUGAAUGUGGAGGUCUGUUCACUGGAAGAGGCUGAAUGUGGAGGUCUGUUCACUGGAAGAGGCUGAAUGUGGUCUGGUCACUGGAAGAGGCUGAAUGUGGAGGUCUGGUCACUGGAAGAGGCUGAAUGUGGAGGUCUGGUCACUGGAAGAGGCUGAAUGUGGAGGUCUGGUCACUGGAAGAGGCUGAAUGUGGAGGUCUGGUCACUGGAAGAGGCUGAAUGUGGAGGUCUGUUCACUGGAAGAGGCUGAAUGUGGAGGUCUGUUCACUGGAAGAGGCUGAAUGUGGAGGUCUGGUCACUGGAAGAGGCUGAAUGUGGAGGUCUGUUCACUGGAAGAGGCUGAAUGUGGAGGUCUGUUCACUGGAAGAGGCUGAAUGUGG